rnacentral:rRNA from 1 species
AUUGAACGCUGGCGGCAGGCCUAACACAUGCAAGUCGAGCGGAUGAAGGGAGCUUGCUCCUGGAUUCAGCGGCGGACGGGUGAGUAAUGCCUAGGAAUCUGCCUGGUAGUGGGGGAUAACGUCCGGAAACGGGCGCUAAUACCGCAUACGGCCUGAGGGAGAAAGUGGGGGAUCUUCGGACCUCACGCUAUCAGAUGAGCCUAGGUCGGAUUAGCUAGUUGGUGGGGUAAAGGCCUACCAAGGCGACGAUCCGUAACUGGUCUGAGAGGAUGAUCAGUCACACUGGAACUGAGACACGGUCCAGACUCCUACGGGAGGCAGCAGUGGGGAAUAUUGGACAGUGGGCGAAAGCCUGAUCCAGCCAUGCCGCGUGUGUGAAGAAGGUCUUCGGAUUGUAAAGCACUUUAAGUUGGGAGGAAGGGCAGUAAGUUAAUACCUUGCUGUUUUGACGUUACCAACAGAAUAAGCACCGGCUAACUUCGUG